UCCCCCGUGGCGCAAUUGGCUAGCGCGUUCGACUGUUACAAGUCAAAUUCAAGCAGAUAAUCGGGAGGUUGAUAGUUCGAUCCUAUCCGGGGGAG